UCUCGGUAGUGGAGGCAGCGCCGUCAGC
rnacentral:sRNA from 1 species